rnacentral:rRNA from 1 species
UACGGAGGGUGCAAGCGUUAUCCGAAUUCACUGGGUUUAAAGGGUGCGUAGGCGGGUUGGUAAGUCAGUGGUGAAAUCUUCAAGCUUAACUUGGAAACUGCCGUUGAUACUAUCAAUCUUGAAUAUUGUGGAGGUAAGCGGAAUAUGACAUGUAGCGGUGAAAUGCUUAGAUAUGACAUAGAACACCGAUAGCGAAGGCAGCUUGCUACACAGUAAUUGACGCUGAGGCACGAAAGCGUGGGGAUCAAACAGG